UGGGGAAUAUUGGACAAUGGGCGCAAGCCUGAUCCAGCAAUGCCGCGUGUGUGAAGAAGGCCUUCGGGUUGUAAAGCACUUUAAGCGGGGAGGAAGCGCAGUCAGUUAAUACCUGAUUGCGUUGACGUUACCCGCAGAAUAAGCACCGGCUAACUCUGUGCCAGCAGCCGCGGUAAUACAGAGGGUGCAAGCGUUAAUCGGAAUUACUGGGCGUAAAGCGCGCGUAGGCGGUUCGUUAAGUCCGUUGUGAAAUCCCUGGGCUCAACCUGGGAAUGGCGAUGGAUACUGGCGAGCUAGAGUAUGAGAGAGGUGGGUAGAAUUCCAGGUGUAGCGGUGAAAUGCGUAGAUAUCUGGAGGAAUACCGGUGGCGAAGGCGGCCCACUGGCUUAAUACUGACGCU
rnacentral:rRNA from 1 species